UACGUAGGGUGCAAGCGUUGUCCGGAAUCAUUGGGCGUAAAGCGCGCGUAGGUGGCUUCGUAAGUCCGUUGUGAAAGUCAAAGGCUCAACCUUUGAAUGCCGAUGGAUACUGCGAAGCUAGAGUACGGAAGAGGCGAGUGGAAUUCCUGGUGUAGCGGUGAAAUGCGCAGAUAUCAGGAGGAACACCGGUGGCGAAGGCGGUUCUCUGGGCAUGUCCUGACGCUGAGGAGCGAAAGUGUGGGGAGCGAACAGG
rnacentral:rRNA from 1 species